GGACUACCCGGGUAUCUAAUCCCGUUUGCUCCCCUAGCUUUCGCGCCUCAGCGUCAGUGUCGGUCCAGGAAGCCGCCUUCGCCACCGGUGUUCCUCCGGAUAUCUACGCAUUUCACCGCUACACCCGGAAUUCCGCUUCCCUCUCCCGAACUCAAGCCCGACAGUUUCCCGCGCCAUUCCCCAGUUGAGCCGGGGGCUUUCACGCGGGACUUGUCGAACCGCCUACGCGCCCUUUACGCCCAGUAAUUCCGAACAACGCUUGCCACCUCUGUAUUACCGCGGCUGCUGGCAC
rnacentral:rRNA from 1 species